rnacentral:rRNA from 1 species
GACGAACGCUGGCGGCGUGCUUAACACAUGCAAGUCGAACGGAAAGGCCCUGCUUUUGUGGGGUGCUCGAGUGGCGAACGGGUGAGUAACACGUGAGUAACCUGCCCUUGACUUUGGGAUAACUUCAGGAAACUGGGGCUAAUACCGGAUAUGAGCUCCUGCUGCAUGGUGGGGGUUGGAAAGUUUCGGCGGUUGGGGAUGGACUCGCGGCUUAUCAGCGUGUUGGUGGGGUAGUGGCUUACCAAGGCUUUGACGGGUAGCCGGACUGAGAGGGUGACCGGCCCCAUUGGGACUGAGAUACCAGCAGGACUGAUACGGGAGGCAGCAGUGGGGGAUAUUGCAAGAUGGGCGGCAGCCUGAUGCAGCAACGCCGCGUGGGGGAUGACGGCCUUCGGGUUGUAAACCGCUUUAGCCUGUGACGAAGCGUGAGUGACGGUAAUGGGUAAAGAAGCACCGGCUAACUACGUG